rnacentral:rRNA from 1 species
GAUGAACGCUAGCUACAGGCUUAACACUUGCAAGUCGAGGGGCAGCAUGGUCUUAGCUUGCUAAGGCCGAUGGCGACCGGCGCACGGGUGAGUAACACGUAUCCAACCUGCCGUCUACUCUUGGACAGCCUUCUGAAAGGAAGAUUAAUACAAGAUGGCAUCAUGAGUUCACAUGUUCACAUGAUUAAAGGUAUUCCGGUAGACGAUGGGGAUGCGUUCCAUUAGAUAGUAGGCGGGGUAACGGCCCACCUAGCCUUCGAUGGAUAGGGGUUCUGAGAGGAAGGUCCCCCACAUUGGAACUGAGACACGGUCCAAACUCCUACGGGAGGCAGCAGUGAGGAAUAUUGGUCAAUGGGCGAGAGCCUGAACCAGCCAAGUAGCGUGAAGGAUGACUGCCCUAUGGGUUGUAAACUUCUUUUAUAAAGGAAUAAAGUCGGGUAUGUAUACCCGUUUGCAUGUACUUUAUGAAUAAGGAUCGGCUAACUCCGUG